rnacentral:tRNA from 1 species
GGUCUCGCUGCUCAGCUGGUGGGGAGCGUGCGCGUGCAAAGCAUAGGCGGUGUCCAUGCGUGAGUUCGAAUCCCACCGAGGCUA